GCAGGCUAGGCGUCGUAGUGGUGUGUUGGUAAAGUUCUGAGUGUUUCUGCUAGGUGUCGUAGUGGUGUGUUGGUAAAGUUCUGAGUGUUUCUGCUAGGUGUCGUAGUGGUGUGUUGGUAAAGUUCUGAGUGUUUCUGCUAGGUGUCGUAGUGGUGUGUUGGUAAAGUUCUGAGUGUUUCUGCAGGCUAGGUGUCGUAGUGGUGUGUUGGUAAAGUUCUGAGUGUUUCUGCUAGGUGUCGUAGUGGUGUGUUGGUAAAGUUCUGAGUGUUUCUGCUAGGUGUCGUAGUGGUGUGUUGGUAAAGUUCUGAGUGUUUCUGCUAGGUGUCGUAGUGGUGUGUUGGUAAAGUUCUGAGUGUUUCUGCAGGCUAGGUGUCGUAGUGGUGUGUUGGUAAAGUUCUGAGUGUUUCUGCAGGCUAGGCGUCGUAGUGGUGUGGUGGUAAAGUUCUGAGUGUUUCUGCUAGGUGUCGUAGUGGUGUGUU
ensembl:lncRNA